rnacentral:rRNA from 1 species
GGGGCCCUACGGGACGCAGCAGUAGGGAAUCUUCCACAAUGGACGAAAGUCUGAUGGAGCAACGCCGCGUGAGUGAAGAAGGGUUUCGGCUCGUAAAGCUCUGUUGGUAGUGAAGAAAGAUAGAGGUAGUAACUGGCCUUUAUUUUACGGUAAUUACUUAGAAAGUCACGGCUAACUACGUGCCAGCAGCCGCGGUAAUACGUAGGUGGCAAGCGUUGUCCGGAUUUAUUGG